rnacentral:rRNA from 1 species
UGGGGAAUAUUGCACAAUGGGCGAAAGCCUGAUGCAGCAACGCCGCGUGAGUGAUGAAGGCCCUUCGGGUUGUAAAAGCUCUGUCUUUUGGGACGAUAAUGACGGUACCAAAGGAGGAAGCCACGGCUAACUACGUGCCAGCAGCCGCGGUAAUACGUAGGUGGCAAGCGUUGUCCGGAUUUACUGGGCGUAAAGGAUGCGUAGGCGGAUUUUUAAGUGAGAUGUGAAAUACCCGGGCUUAACUUGGGUGCUGCAUUUCAAACUGGGAAUCUAGAGUGCGGGAGAGGAGAAUGGAAUUCCUAGUGUAGCGGUGAAAUGCGUAGAGAUUAGGAAGAACACCAGUGGCGAAGGCGAUUCUCUGGACCGUAACUGACGCUGAGGCAUGAAAGCGUGGGUAGCAAACAGGAUUAGAUACCCUGGUAGUCCACGCCGUAAACGAUGAGUACUAGGUGUAGGAGGUAUCGACCCCUUCUGUGCCGCAGUUAACACAAUCAAGUACUCCGCCUGGGAAGUACGAUCGCAAGA